rnacentral:rRNA from 1 species
UACGAAGGGGGCUAGCGUUGUUCGGAUUUACUGGGCGUAAAGCGCACGUAGGCGGUUUGUUAAGUGAGAGGUGAAAUCCCAGAGCUCAACUCUGGAACUGCCUUUCAUACUGGCAAGCUAGAGUCCGGAAGAGGUAAGUGGAAACUCCUAGUGUAGAGGUGGAAUUCGUAGAUAUUAGGAAGAACACCAGUGGCGAAGGCGGCUUACUGGUCCGGAACUGACGCUGAGGUGCGAAAGCGUGGGGAGCAAACAGG